rnacentral:rRNA from 1 species
UACGUAGGGUGCAAGCGUUAUCCGGAAUUAUUGGGCGUAAAGAGCUCGUAGGCGGUUUGUCGCGUCUGCUGUGAAAACCCGAGGCUCAACCUCGGGCCUGCAGUGGGUACGGGCAGACUAGAGUGUGGUAGGGGAGACUGGAAUUCCUGGUGUAGCGGUGGAAUGCGCAGAUAUCGGGAGGAACACCGGUGGCGAAGGCGGUUCUCUGGGCCUUACCUGACGCUGAGGAGCGAAAGCGUGGGGAGCGAACAGG